rnacentral:rRNA from 1 species
GGCUAACUCCGUGCCAGCAGCCGCGGUAAUACGGAGGAUCCNNNCGUUAUCCGGAUUUAUUGGGUUUAAAGGGUGCGUAGGCGGCCUGUUAAGUCAGGGGUGAAAGACGGUAGCUCAACUAUCGCAGUGCCCUUGAUACUGAUGGGCUUGAAUGUACUAGAGGUAGGCGGAAUGUGACAAGUAGCGGUGAAAUGCAUAGAUAUGUCACAGAACACCAAUUGCGAAGGCAGCUUACUAUGGUAUGAUUGACGCUGAGGCACGAAAGCGUGGGGAUCAAACAGGAUUAGAUACCCUGGUAGUCCACGCCCUAAACGAUGAAUACUCGAUGUUAGCGAUAUACAGUUAGCGUCAAAGCGAAAGCGUUAAGUAUUCCACCUGGGGAGUACGCCCGCAAGGGUGAAACUCAAAGGAAUUGACGGGGGCCCGCACAAGCGGAGGAGCAUGUGGUUUAAUUCGAUGAUACGCGAGGAACCUUACCCGGGCUUGAAAGUUAGUGAAUGGAGCAGAGACGCUCCAGUCCUUCGGGACACGAAACUAGGUGCUGCA